rnacentral:rRNA from 1 species
UGCAGUCGCACGAGAAGAACCUUUUGCUUGCAUUGGGUUCGGACAGUGGCGAAAGGGAGAGUAACGCGUGGUUACGUGCCUCAAAGACCAGGAUAGCGUUGGGAAACCGGCGGUAAUACUGGAUAAUAUCUUCGGAUCAAAUGGUGUGAUUCCGCUUUGAGAUCGGACCGCGUACUAUUAGCUAGUUGGUGGGGUAAUGGCCCACCAAGGCUGCGAUGGUUACCGGGUGUGAGAGCAUGACCCGGCUCACUGGGACUGAGACACUGCCCAGACACCUACGGGUGGCUGCAGUCGAGAAUCUUUGUCAAUGGACGAAAGUCUGAACAAGCGACGCCGCGUGCGGGAUGAAGGCCCUCGGGUUGUAAGCCGCUGUCAGUAGUUAGGAAAUGCAUGAUGGUCAUCCAUCAUGUUUGACCGAUCUUCAGAGGAAGGACGGGCUAAGUUCNNGNNNGCAGCCGCGGUAAGACGAACCGUCCAAACGUUAUUCGGUAUCACUGGGCUUAAAGCGUGCGUAGGCGGCUUGGUAGGUGAGAUGUGAAAGCCCACGGCUCAACCGUGGAAUUGCGUUUCAAACCCCCAAGCUCGAGGAAGAUAGGGGUGAUGGGAACUUAUGGUGGAGCGGUGAAAUGCGUUGAUAUCAUAGGGAACACCGGUGGCGAAAGCGCAUCACUGGAUCUUUUCUGACGCUGAGGCACGAAAGCUAGGGUAGCGAACGGGAUUAGAUACCCCGGUAGUCCUAGCCGUAAACGAUGAAUACUGGGUUGAGGGGACUCUCACAUCCUCUCGGCCGUAGCGAANNCGUUAAGUAUNCCGCCUGGGGNGUAUGGUCGCNAGGGCUGAANCUCAAAGGAAUUGANNGGGGCUCACACNANCGGUGG